ensembl:snRNA U6 U6 spliceosomal RNA
GUGCUUGUUUCAGAAGCACACAUACUAAAACUGGAAUGAUACAGAGAUUAACCUGGCCUCUGCACAAGGAUGACAUUCAAAUUUGUGAAGCAUUCCAUAUUAAA